GAUAAUUUUCAAACACAAAUCAUUAGAGGAACCUUCACCCUCAAGAUACACUACAAAGAGGUUUUCUUGUGACCAAACCAGAUCUACAAUUCAAAUGAUCCUCUCUUAAAUAUCAUUCACAGACAAAAACAAAACAAAAUAAUCACAUGUACAAUAUAGAUGAGCAGGAGUAACAUUCAACAGCAGAAAAACCACAUAAAAAUAUAAUUUUCUAUUGAUUAAAACACAAAGGUGUUGGGUUUAGGUAUAUUAAUGCAGCUGAUGAAGAAAAGAGUGAAAGAAGAGAUAGCGAGAGGUGCAAAAAUUUGUAGAGAUCUACACUCAUUAAUUAUUUUUUUAGCAUCUGACGAUAUGGUAGUAUUAAAUUAGUCAAUAGUUUAUUAAAUUACUCAAUAUAGCUGUUUUUUUUAAACAUCAGUAUAGUUGUUUAUUCAAGUAUCUUCACCCUUCUAGGAUAGUGAAGAAGAAAAAAAUUGGUGACGAUUAAGGUUUGGAAAAGAGAGAAGCAAGGUCAAAGGUAAUGGGGUGGCCAAGGGAGGUCGUCCCCCCCCCCCCCCCCCAAUUUUUUUCUUAAAAAUUUUAUACUACUAAUUUUAUGCUAUUUCACUAGUAUUGUGAACGUGGUCCCCCGUCAUUAGCUCUUUUGUUGGAGUCCUCGAUUAUUUGAACAUUGAGCAUUUGUCAUUUAUGAAAAAAAAGAACCCUUUAAGUAUGUCAAUUAUAAAAGCGACAAUAGAAUAAAAUAAGAUAUUUUUUCUUCUCACUUCCAUUUUUUCUCCCUGCCAUUUGAAAAUACCAAAAUACUCGUAGAGGUACAUUGGAGAGGUGAACGAUAGUUAAGUGUCACUCGACCCACAACAAUUGCGAAAAUAGAAAAUUGGGGAAUUGAGAAGAGUAACUUUCAUAAACUAAAUCAAAUAAGUAAAUAUAAUUUUUCUCUCUUCUCCUAAUAUUAACUUUAAAUGUAGAUUUAUUAAAAAAAAAACAUAAAAUGUAGAUUAAAAUUCUUAUAUAUGUAGUGCAUUUGAGAUUUUUUGUUUUGUUUAACUAAAUAUCUUUUAGUGCUCGUUUGGUUACCCGUUUUGUGGGUACAAACGUGAGUCUGAAGCACUCAAAAGCAGUUUUUCUAUUUUUGUGGUGUUUGGGUAACUGCAAAAGUGAUUCAACCCCCAAACUCACGUUUACCAGAAGCUAAAAGUUGGAGCUUUUCAAAAGCAAUUUAGGAAUUCAACUUUUGGUGGCUGAUGUACUUUCCUAAAUUACCCAUGAUAUUCUUUUUCAUUUUUCGACAAAGUUUUAUAAAACACAGCAAAAGUGAUGAAUUUUUUGUUGCUCAAAUUCUUUCUCGACCCUGUUUCUGCCUUCAUGUUACCCAGCAAACUUCAACAUUCUCUCUCUUUCUUUGAGAAAAGAUGGAAUUGGGUUUGUAUUUAUUUAUUUUAUUUUAAUUUUCACAAAAUGAAAUUGGGUUUCAUAGGCCUAUUAGUUAAUUUCUCCUCUUAUGCAAGCCCAUUACAUUUUUUACAGAUUCUUUUUUAAGAAAAAACCAUUUGACAAAAUUUGUUAUUUUUUGUACAAAGAGAAAAUUUGUUAAUUAAUAUGUGUAAAAAUAUUUAUAUAGUAUACCUAAUUCAAAUUAAAGUAUCAAAUUAACAUGCAUUUUAUUUUAGAAGUUUUUCUAAUCUACAAAUAAUUAAAUUGAUAAUGCAACAUAAAUUUGAAUAAUUAUAUAAAAUAGAAACAAAAUAUAAUUUUAAAUAGAUAUUUAUACUCAUUUUGGUAAUUAUGCAUUCAAAUAACAAGAAUUCUAAGAAUCAAUUCACAUUCAAGUCACUUUUUUUCAAAAAUCAAUUUUAUCAAACUCAAUUCUAUCAAAAUCAAUUAUUUCCACCGCUGAACCAAACGCACACUUAAACAUGUCCCCCCUUAACCGUUGUUAAAUUUCUAGCUCGACCUGUGGAGGAAGAGAUGACCAAUUAUUUUUCACUCAAUUACUUUUAUAUAUGUACAUAUCUUUUUCUUAUUCAAGUUAAUUUUGUAUUUCAUAAAAGACAAAUUAUUCAAAUGAAGCUCGUUUCGAUUUAUGUGUGGAACAAUUUUGGCUAGAUUAAAAAAUGAAACGCAAGAAUUAAAAUUAAAAAUAGAAAUUUCAAAAGGAUAAAAAAUUCUAUAUAAAAAAAAGAGACUAAAAUUGGCAUUUUAAUGGGCUAAAUAAAUGUUCUCUACUUCUCAUAUGCAAGCAAGGAGAAAAAAAAAAAAAAAGUGGAGUUUCUCUAUGCAAAAUCGUAAACGCUUUAUUGGUGAGUUCUUCUCCUUUUCGUACUAUCAGUUCAAGUGUUUAUAUUCGCCAGAAUUUGAUUAUAUUCAUCACAAUCGAUUAUUUAUAUAUCUUUAACAGUUAACACUGAUACGAUUAUUGAAUUUGUAUGAAUUAGGAAAUGGCUUCAACAUCAGAAGCUAUGAAUGAAUUCGACGAAUCGAUGAAGAAACAAAUUGCAUUAAUUUUGAAGGUUGUGCUUUUGAAUAAAUCCUUGAAAGAGGAUAAUAUUCCUUGUGAAAUUGACCAGGUAGUUUACUUAAUCAAGCUUCAUUUUGUUAUUAUCUUCACUAUUCUUCUGAAUUUUGUAACUAAUGAUGAAUGAUAUUUGGUUAGGGUUUGUUUUUGGGUUCAGUUGGUUCUGCUACGAACAAGGUUGGUUUAAAAAAUGUGAAUGUUACUCACAUUUUGACUGUGGCUGGGAAACUUGCACCUGCACAUCCUGCCGAUUUCGUCUAUAAAGUUAUAGAUGGUAUGUUUCUUUUAUUAUUACUUAUUGCACUCACACGGUCACCAUACAUGACACUGACACAUUGACACUAGUAAAAAUUUGAGAAAAUGAAUUAACUGAACGUAAUCACAUAUCCAAUGUGGUGUCGGUGACACGCCUUUAAUCAGGGAUGUCGGUGUUACAUAGAUGAUCUGGAACUGAUUUUGACAAUGAUGCGGUUUUAUUCUUUUUGAUUUUGGUCUUUCGGAGCUGUUGGUUUUGUGGCUAUCAAAGUAAUGCAAGUGAAUUCACUAUAUAAUGGACUAAACAAAUGGAUAGGGUGUGUUUGGAAAUACAUAUCUUCAUCAAUAAUGUUACAAUAUUAGUCAAAAUAUAAGGUUGAGGUUACCUAUUUUUAUUAGUAAGAUGAUUUGGAUGUUAACUUUUGUUACCUUAUUGAGGUUCUCAGUUUCCAUGUUUAUGGAUUAUUUGAGUUGUAUUGCAUUUAAUGUAAGGUUUAUUUAAAGAAAUAAUGUUAAAAUAGGGCAAAAGGAAGGAAGUGGUGGUAGGGUGGGUUUUACAGAACACCGAUUAGGACAGGGUCGGGUACCUAAUUUUUAUUUUGGUGACAAUGGAGUGGGUUUUGGGAGGCGGGUUCAGGUGGAGAGCAAAACCUUGACUCCAUGACCAUUGCGUGCUUUGAUCUAUAAAAGUUUAGCAUUUUCUUUGCAAUUAUGAAAAAGCGUGCUUUGAUCUUUGAAAGUUUAGCAUGUGUUGAGAUUGUUCCAUUACUCGACAUUUUCAAUAGGAGAGAAAUUGAUGUAAUAUUUUUUUUAGUUAUUCAUCUCUCUCUCUCUCUCUCCCUCCUACUAGAUGUGUCGAGUACUAGAGAGAGGAUCUCAAUCUGUUUAGCAUGCAGUUGCUGUCAAAAAAUUUCCUUCUAUCUUAGAAAUUGUAUUUUGUUAUAAUAGAUGUUAUCAUCUCAGAAUGUCAGUUCCUUUUUAACCGACUCGUGUAAUAUUGCGAUCAAUUAAAUGAGACUGCACAACAUUUCAGGUCCAUGUUGCUUGUCAUUAAGGUUGAUUAUGAUUAUAUUGAUUACACUCUAAUUUUGUCUUAAGUUUUUUAGGCAUCUAGUACACAAUAUCCAUACUAAAGUUACACUUUUGUUGGAAAAUUGAGAAGUUGCUGACAAAGAGGAUACCAACUUAAAACAACACUUCGAAGAGUGUUUUGAUUUUAUUGAUGAAGCUAAAAGUAAUGGUGGAAGUGUUUUGGUUCAUUGUUAUGCUGGAAGAUCGAGGAGGUAAGUUUCGCUGUUUAUAUCUUUCUCUCUUGCUUACAUAGGAUCAUUUCUUGUUCAUUGUACAGACUAUUAUUUUACUUUAGACAAGUGUCAAUAAGUUGAAAUCUGUUUUAUGUCUCAAUCAUCUCAGGCAUUUUUGUUUUGUUUUGGUUUAAAUUUCUGGAAUGUUGUUUCUCAAGCAAAAACUGGGAGCAGCACAUUGCAUAUUUGAAUUUCAAUGUUUCUUAAAAUCCUUACAUUUUUAUUUUGUUAUCAUUGUCUUUUAUUAUUCAAUAGCAGAUAUUAUGUUUUGCUUAUAAAGUUGGGAAAAUGUCAUGGAAGCUUAUAGCUUUUUAAUUAUGUCUUUAGUUCAAUGAUACUAUCUCUUGAAAUCCAUUGUAAUAAUGUUCUGAGUAUGGCCAUAUAUAUGUGAUGCCAUGUGGAAUUUGAGGAUAUGAUUGUUGAGCUAAAUGUCAAAUUGUUUCAUAUAUGGAAAAUGACAAACCUUGUUGAUGCUUUGAAAAUUACAGAUAUGAUUUUUUUUUUGUUUUCCCUGUCAUUAUUGUUUUCUUUUCCAGAAAUCUGCUUUCAUGUCGAUCUUUUCCGUUUGAACUUUGACAUAUUAAACAUUUGAACUGACAAUUGAAGUGUGCAUGCUUCUCAAUGAAAUAGACUAAAAAUGCUUUAUAGUAUGAAUUGAGAUGCCAUCGAUUUUUUUAAUAUGUAGAAUGGAAAGUUAGGGAUGUAAGCUUGAGAUUCAUGAAUGAUGAUUAUGUCCUUGUUUACUAUUGGCCUGUCACUUAUAUUCUGCACAAAGUUCAUGCAGCAUUUUACUACCUCCUUUUUUAAUGGUCAUAUUGGAACUAAGAAUCUUGGUAUUCAUAUUGUUCAUUUGGCUAUUUUCUUUUUCAUUAGAUUAACUGGAAAAACUUGGUUCUAAUUUAUUUCCACCUUCUAGUGUGACUAUCAUUGUGGCAUAUCUGAUGAAGUCUCGGGGAAUGAGCUUAUCUGAAGCUCUGCAACAUGUAAAAUGCAAAAGACCACAAGCAACUCCAAAUCGUGGUUUCAUUCGUCAGCUGGAAGACUUUGAGAAAUCUCUUCAAGGUUAAAACUGUAUUAAUCUUAAAUAUAAUUAAACAUCAACAUGCCAAUAUAUAUAUAUAUAUAUAUAUGGGGUUUGCUAGAACACACCCACUAAUUUUUAUGUGGGAGUGUUUUAGCAAAGCUACACCUUAAGGUGUAUUUAACCACUUUUUAGUUAUUAAAUUGCUAAAAUACUCCUUCUAAAAAAUAAGUGGGUGUAUUCUAGCAAAUGCCUAUAGGAUUUGCUAGAACACACCCACUUGUUUUUUUAGAAGGUGUGUUAAAACAACAUACACCUUAAGGUGUAUUUAUUAACUUUUUAGUUAUAACUUACUAAAACACUCCCACAUAAAAACUAGUGGGUGUGUUCUAGCAAAUCCCUAUAUAUAUAUAUAUAUAUAAGAUACAUUUAGAUCUUAUAUAGAUAUUAAAUGGAUACACCUCUAUAGCCAUGAAGAUACAUUUACGAUUUACAUUUAGCACAUGUAAGAGCUUGUGUAAAAUAUAAGGAGUCACUUCACUUUACAUAAAAGCUUUUAUAAUGCUUAUUGCUUAAACUGAAAGAAAAUUGACUUGUAUAUAAUAUAGUAAUCUAGCAGAGUGUGCAUGGUAAAGGAAGUAUAAAGGGUUUUAUAAUUAUCCACUAAACAUCAUUGUUACCAUUGUCAUACAAUUUUUGCAUAAAGAAUGAUACAAUCACAUAAGAGUUUGACUAACGAUCAUGUCUUAUAAGCAUAUAAGCUAUAUUCGUGUGUGUAUGUGUGUGUCUCUAUUUCAUUAUGAUCUUUAUCAGAUAUUUAAGCAUAUGUGCUCAUUUUUCUGUGAAACUUUGAUUUGAACAUAUCUCUUUCCUUUAUUUUAUAUUUUUUGUAAUAUCUAAAUUUUAAUGCAUGACAUUAUGUAUAUGAAAUAUUAAUGCAAUUCUGUCAAAUUGGAUCUUCCUGGGUUUUUCAAAUGGUAGAUCUAUGUUUUAAUUUAUAUAUACCUUCGCUGACUUUAAAAAUACCGCUGUUCUCUUUAUAUGGUUUUCCCCCUUCAUUUUCUUCACUAAUGGACUCCACAUUUCUUUUGUUCUUCAUAUAGUUUUAUGAACACUGAUUCAAAUUCAAACUAAAAGUAGUUUGUGUGAACAUAUCAUUGAUUGUAUCUAGUUUGUUUUUGUGAAGAUAUCGAAGUGUCUGGAUAGAGAACAUGAUGGUGAUCAGACAAGGUAGUGUAGAUGAUUAGCGUGACUCUGGCAAUCAUGUGAAGACAAGGCAGCAUCAGUUAUGGAUUGGCACUGAAACUUCAUCCUCAGGUGCGGAAGUCCCAGUUUAUAACAACUAUGAAUUGCUACUAUGCAUACCAGCCUAUUUCAUGAAAUGUUGAAUUCGAUCUGUCUUCUCUCAUUCCAUGUUUCUGUAGUGUUUAGGAAAAAUGGCCUGUUAGGAAAAAUUAACUUUGUUAGAGGGGAUAUACUUCUCCAGAAACAUUUACGAAAACCAAAAUAUUAAAAUAAUUGCAACGAGUACUCAAUUUUUAAAUAGCAGCUUUUGUUUGAGAGUAUUCUUGAGCUUUUUGGAACAUUUUUCUGUUUUAUUUUCAAGGGAUGCACCUAAUAGUACUUGAGUUUUUGAAGUGGAUAUUGUUCAGUAUAUCCAAGCUGAACCCAAUUAGGCAAGUCCAAUAUCGGAUUGCCCACACUCGUUGUUGACCCAAACUGAUAAAAGAAAGGGUAAAUAUCAUCUCCUCUCCACGACUGGGAGCUACCGUGCACACUCUGAUUAAAACCUGUGAGCACAUGAUGAGAAGAAAUUACCACCUCUUGUCUACCCAUGGGCAACACCAAAGGUUCCAACCAGGAAAGACCCGUGAUGGUCACUUCCACCCACACGAUGAUUGAAUGAAAGGAGAAUUGGCCCAUUAUCCCGAGUAAUAUAACUCAGAGAGGAGGCAAAUAAUAGCUACAAAUAGGACACGUGUAGAUGUUCAUAGGCAUUCCGCAUUUUAGACUAUCAAAUGUAGAGAAUUUUUGUAACCUAAUAAAUUUUGUUGUCUUGUAUUCGAAUGUUAUUGUCUUGGGUUUAGUUCUCAUUCUUAGUGCAAUGACAUUUGAGAGCUUUUUUCACCCAUGGUUCUUAAAAAACGGUCUUGUCCUGCUCAUGGAAUUUCCCUAGUUGAGACCCCAGUACCUCACACCCAAAUGAUGAGAGUUGCCACCACUUCCUUUGCCCACGAGCAAGACAAUUUAAUUAAAGGAGAAACUAUCCACUAUACCAAGUAACGUAAUUUAGAGGAGGUAAAUGAAGGUUAUCAAUAAGACGAUUGUAGACGUUCAUAAGCACUAGACAUUUUAGAUCACCAAAGAGAUUUCUUUUAACUUGAUAAAUUUUAGUCUCUUGUAUUCAAAUGUUGUUGUCUUGGCGGGCUUAGUCUCCGUCUUAGUGCAAUAACAUAUCACACUGGGGAAAAUAAUGAAAAUUGAAAUGCCAUAAACGAAUACUUGAGGUCUAAUAAUUACAUUUCAAAUCAUCUAUUUCUUUACCCAAAAAUCAUCUAACUUAGGAGGGUCAUCAAGUCUAGAGUUUAAUAUGUUCGCUCUUACUCUUGAUAAGUUAUUUACGUCGGAAUAAGAAUGAAUUUAUUUUUUCUGGAAAAAAGUGGACUGGUCAUAAUGUGGUUAAUACCAUCCAUGGAGGCAUGGGUGCAGAUUGCGAGAUCUCUCAAAGGUCCUCGUCCAUCUGACAAUGUUUAAGUUGAAUUGUGACAUCGUUUUGUUCAGGGAGAUAUGUGGGCUGUGGCCUGUGGCCUGUGGGGGUAUCCGUUGAGAUUGUAGGCAAAUUUGUUUUGUUUAUACUAAGAGAUUAUGCUGCUAUAGCCUAUAAGGGUUUUAGAAAGCAAAGUUGAUGAGCCUCUUCCAUGGCCUAAGUCUGGUCCUUAGAAUAGCAAAAUUACGGAGUCACUGAAGUCGGAAUCCUUGGUGACCAUUUGUCCAAUCUCCAAAAGAUGCGUUCCAUUACCAUUUGCAUGCAUAUUCAUGUUAAAUUUUAUCGAAGGGAUUCAAAGCCUCUUGCAUGAUAGCAAAUCAAUAUUGUGGAAAUAAUUUAGUUCGAAAGUUCGAGUGCUUCCAACGGUGCAACCAUUAUAAAUGGUUUAAGUGGAUUUUUUUUUCAUAAUGUCACAUUACAUUUAUUUUAUUAUUUUUUGUUUUAAUGGUACAACCUUAAGAAGUCACGAUAACUCUCACAGAAUUAUCUAUCAAAAUUCAAUAGAAUACAAAAUAAUUUAAAAAUAAAGCUGGGUAGCACAGGACAUCAUGCUAACCCGGCCACCCAACCCAACAAGUUCUAUGUUUGCAUACUUUUAAAAAUUAAUUUCUCUAACAUAAUUUCUAAUUUGAAUUUUUUUUUUUUUUUAUCACGUUUCACACGACUCUUUCUUUAUUAAGAUGCAGAAACACCUUAAUUACAUCAUCACUUUGUCAUUGUGACAUACUUGUUUUUGAUUUUUCACAUUCUAACAUAACAUGUUGAAUUGGAGUUGAUCCCUGGUCCAAAUGUUGUCUUGUCCCCUAUCAAAUCACUCAAAAGAGAUGUGUCCGUUUCUAUCUUUUACUUUUGUUCCCUUUCGAUUUAUGUUGAUAUGAAAUGUUUCAUUCCUCGGUAAAUCAGGUGAAUAAUAAUAUGGAUUUAGUUUAUAUACAUCCACCAAUAGUAUAAACUUUAUAAAAAAAAUAAUAGUGUACACUUUAUAAACUUUCUAACCAUGUAUAUUUCAAGAUAUGUUAUUUGAACAACCAUUUAUAGAAUAACUCUAUAAAAAAGGUAAAUAUUGACACAAAAAUUAAAGUAAUAAAUAGAGAAAGUAAAAAUAAAAUAGUAUCAGAGAAAAUUGUCACAAAAUAGCUGUAUAAAUAUCAUUUCUCAUUUCAUAUAUAUGAUGUUAUUUUUAAAACAUGGGAUCAAAACUUCAGUUUGUUUUCUUAAAUUGGAGGCCAAAAAAAGCUAAAAAAAUUAUAUAACUCUUUUCUUUUUGUUGAAAAAAAAUUACCAGUGUAACUCUAGUAAUUAAGAAAGAGACUUAUGCAAAGGAUAAUUUUUUUUUCAAGGAAUAAACUUAUAACUUUUCAUUAGAUAUCAAUUAUGUAAUACAUGAUGGUACAUCAAUAAAGACAUGAAGGAUAGCUCGAAAUGUGGCUAUCCAUGCUAAAUCAUGAGUGACCUUAUUUGUUUGUUGUCUAAUAAACUCGCUAUGAGAGUUUUGAAAAAAAUAAAUUACAACAGUGUUUGCAGACCUCCAUAAUAGCCUCAAACUCCAUUAUAUCUAUGCUACCUCUCUUAAAGUAGUCGGCAACCUUCUUCAUAUCCACCUCAAAGUCUAACAUUUGCCAGUUGUAAUUCUUCGAUGCAAUAACAUGAUAUUGCCCCAUCGCCUACCUCGUAUCCACUGAACAAACUCGUGAAAACCAUUAAGUUUUAGCAAGAACAUACACACUCGUGUCAUCGCGAAUGCACAUACUGGUGCCUACUCUGUUGCAAAGGCAUAUUGUUUUCAUUCAACACGAAUUCAUAUCCUUUAUAGAUCAACCAAGAGAAUGCAAAGCUAUAUUUAGGAAUAAAGACCAAGGGAAUUCAUAUCUUUUUUUAUAUCUUUUUUAUGCAAAGGAUAACUGUUUUCAUUCAAAAUGAAUUCAUAUCUUUUUUGGAUCAACCAAGAGAACGCAAAGCCAUAUUUUGGAUUGGAGACAAUAAUCUAUGUUUCCAUCAGGCUACGACAAUCCUUUCUACUUGAAUGCAUUAUGACAUUAUUUCUUUUUCUUUUACGGUUAUUAAAAAAAUAUCAAGCAUGCUUUAAUCCUUCAAAAUUAAGUCCUUUAUCAUGAGAGUUUGUAUGCAGAUAUGUGACAAAUUCAUCUAUCUUAAUUAUCAUCAAAUUCAUCAACUAUAAUUAAUAUUCACUUAACAUUGCACUUUGUUUUUUACAUGUUGUAGAUAAUCCAAAAAUUGAAAUUUACAGUCUGACAAUCAAUUAGAUGCAGAUGUGUUAUGAAGAGAGACUCACUUAGAGUACACAUACUGUUAUUUCCACUUUUAUGUAAUUCUGUUAAAAUCUCUAGGUUCCUGUGGUUCUUGCAUAUAUGUUUGUUUCUGUUCCCAAUUUAUGAUUAAUAUAUUUGAAGUUGUAAUGCUGCAAUAUUAAUAUAAUAUAUUUUUUUUCUCCACAUCUUCAUUCCAUAUUUCUUUAGUAACAUCCAAUCCAAAUAUAUUAAGAUCUUAACAGUCUUAUGUAGGAAAUUAUUCCUUCCUACUUGUUCAUUUUUAUUUCCUGUUUCAGUUUUUUUUUUUUUUUGGUAAAGGAAAAGUAAAACUAGCUUAUCAUAAUUUUCCAUUUAUGACUCUUGCUAUAUAAGAAAGGGUAAAAACUACUAUAAUUUUAAGAAAUUAUGUAUUUUAUAAAGAAUAAAGAAUAAAAAGUUGAGCCGAAAGCCAAAACUAGUCGCCCUUUAUCUCUUCACCAUAAUAUGAAAGAAACUGUUGGGUAGCACUCUCACAUUCCACACCAUUUUCUAUUUUUCUCCUUGGAACAUGUUAUCAUUAUUUUAUUUUAUUUUGUCAAAAAUAUGUUAUCAUUCUUGAGUACAAAAGUUAAUAACCCUUGCCUAAAUUAUUACAUGACAUGGACCCAUUGUUGGAAAAUGGAUGGAUCCAGCCAUACCUAUCCAUCUCACUCCAACACUCUGACCACGAUGCUGUCCCAUUCUUUGUAAAGAACUUCGUCUUUUUUUUCAUAUGCUUACACGUGAUUUAAUAAUAUAAAUUAUGAAUAGUGCACAAUCAUUGAAUUGAUUUGUUGAGGCGUGGGUCUUUUGAAAGAACAUUGUCUAUAUAAGAAAUAAGACCAAGGUCAAUAAAGAGCCCCCUUAAAAAUAAUUUUGAUUUCCAACCAUUUUUAAAAACCGAAUUUAGAAAUUUAUUUUGUCAAGCAAUCGUAGAUUAUUUGAGUCAUUUGAAAAAAGCGUCAAAAGUUUGAUUGCUAAUUGUAAAUACUCCUAUAUCAUUAUUCAAAAAAGUGAAAACUAAUUAUAUAUUUGUAAUACUGUAUACAUUUUUUUAUGAUAAAUAAUAUAAAGAAGUACGUAUACAUUUUAGUUCAUAAAAAAUAUAUUAGAUGAAUACAAUGAUUAAUUUUUCUAAUUGGAUUUAAAUUCUAAUUGUAAUUAUCUACAACAUUCUAUCCGAAACUACUUGAUGUGAACUGUGAAAACAAAAUUUGCGGUUACAUAAAAAACAAACUAGAUUUAUAAAGUUAGACCGAGUUGUACUGAAGUUGAAUUGAAAUGUCACAUUGCUUAGAUUUUUAAGUUGUUGGAUGUAUUAAUAUAUUUGAACACCUUCAUAUUUUGAGUUAGUUUUUGAAAUUAUUGAGAGAAAAUUUUCACAAUAGCAAAAUUACAUUCACAUAAGCAAAAUCAAACAUGAAAACAACUUACAAUCUCAUACAAUGUUUGUAGAGGCAAAAUUAUAAACUCUCAAUUAUAAUUUUUGCACGAAAGAAUUGAAAAACCUUUCAUAACAUACAAUUACCUAAAACUCCAAUGAAUCCAAAGACUCAAGUUGCAAUGAAGAAAAACUCAAACCAACUUCUAUAUUUAUAAUAACUUUAUAUCUCUUUUUUCUUUUCACUACUCGAUUUGAAAUUUGGAUGAAGACUCACUUAGACACAACACUAAUUACAUCCAAACUCAUUUAACAUGCUAUCAAAGCAAAUUAAGGAUCACAAUAUGGGAAUUUGACUUAGAACCCACACUAUACAUAACGGUGGAUAUUAAAAUUUUAUUAGAGUCUCACAUUACUCAGGUUCAGAGACGGUUGAAUACAUACAUGUAUUUAAAUACCUUUAUUCUUUGAGUUGAUUUUUACAAUGAGAUUCAUGUUUAUUUAACAAGUUAUACGGUUGUUUCAAAGUUUAAAGUUCCAAAUCUCUUCCUCAAAACGAAAAUGUUUAAAAUCUCAAUUAUUUAAGUUCAAAUUCCCCACUGUGCCCUCAUGGAACCCGCGAAAUAUAGUUUGAGACUUAGUAAGUGAGUUGAAAUUUUGGCAAUUGAAUUUCCAUCAUCAUCAAGCAAUUUGGUACCAGUGUCGUUUUCAUUUUUCAUAGCUAUAACUUCUGAGUGGGAUUAGGAUCAUUUGAUGACUAUAAGUUCAUUGAUUAACAUUUCCCUGCCGUUCCUUCCAAAAUAAAAAAAAAACAUUUCCCCGCCGUAGUUAGCAAUACAUUCAAUUAUCCCUAAACAUUGAACUUAUAAGACUUUUGAACGACAUUUUUUGUUUGUCGUAUACUGGCGGUUAUCAACAACUUCGGCAAAAUUUAUUAAAAAACUUGAUCACUGCUCAAAACGAACAGAGAGACCGGUAUCAGAUAUUACAGAAUGAAUGCGUCGUAUAUAGGCGGAACACCUAAAAUCAACACCAUAAAAGACAUUAAACACCCAUCACCUAACCAAGAUCUACCUUAACACCUAAAGAGAACAACAAUCACCAAAACCAACUUCACCACCUAAAUCAAACUUCAUCAUUAAACGGCAACUGAAAACGAAAUCCAUAAACCCCUUUCGCUCGCUGCUCACCCCAAAAAACAUCCCUCUAAAUCAGACAACCUCUUCUCAUCACCUAAACUGAGCCGUAUUCAAAAAUGUUCUAUUCCAACGCUUAGUCAGCUUCCACCACCUCUCUAUCCCUGAUCCACCAAAGAAAACAUUAUAAUUCAAUGUUCGAUUAUUCCAAUAUCAUCCAUCUUAUCUCUUAUCUAUUACAGAUUUGUGUACUAUCAAAAAAUGUAUGGAGGAUUACUUAAAGUCAACUCGUUGGUUCUUGUGAUUCAACUUUGAAUUUCCACUUUGAUGUCUGGUAGUAUUAAUUUUUUUAAUCGUACUUCGUCUUGGUUGCCUAUUUAAUUAUUUCAUGACUCUAUUUGUAUAAAACAAUGCCCAGUAGUACUAGUUUUACUAUUUUUGCAAGUUUUUCAUGUGCACCUCACGUAUUGAAAUAUAAAAAAAAAAAAAAAAUUGAGAAAUCAAUAUUCGAUAUACAUUUUUUUCUUCUCCUAUGUCAAAUCAAACAAAAAAGAGAAAAAAAUGUAUUUUUUUUCUUUUCUUUAACGUUCACUUCUACCAACAACUAAAAAUUCAUCAACUCUCUAUUAUCUCUUUCUUCUUUUCAUUCGUUUGUGUGUCUUUCCUCUGACUUUUUUUCAUAUGCCAAACGAAGCAUGCAUGUACAUGUACUAUUGGUGUGGAGGUGCCAAGCUAUAGUAGAUGGGGAUUCAAUCUCCAAUUCAAUGUGGUCAAAAGUAGAGGGCCCCGUUAUAUAUGUAUGGAAAAGAACAACCUAUCAAUAUGAGCACCAGUAUCUUCCAUUAUUAAUUUCUUUCUCCAUUAGCUACAUACCUUGACUUACUAGAACCUUCAAUUCACCAGAAAAGAAAAACUCACUGUUAAUUCAAACAUGCAUUCACCAAGUUAAAGUGAAAUUUGGGAUGAUCGUAGUUAGUUUGGUUGAGAAACAAUAAUAUUGGAUCGUUAGCAGACGUGUGCCUAAUCACAUUAACUGGUCUCCCUCUCUCUAUCUCUCUCAAACAGCACCACUUGUCUUUUUGCGUAAGCAAAUAUUAUAAGGAUCUAGGUGUUUAGAGGCAGUUGAGGAAAGAAGCCGUUAGGGAGGCACUUUGCAUUUUCCUCUUUCUACUCUAGGCAAUUUUAGGCGGUUGCUAUAUAAUUAAAUGGGGAUCUUCGAAGCACAGACACAAACAAAUGUCGAACACGAAAAUAAAACGAACACUAAUUCAAUGGGAAGUCACUAUGCACUAAGGGAGGCACUAUGCAUUUACCUAUUUUAAAAUAUUAAUUCUUUUAUCUUUCAAGCAGGUUAGAGGUCAGAGCUCGCACACUUUAAAUAUGAAAAGUCUAAGAUUUGAACUAUAACCUAUGCAUAUAUUAUAUAAUAUUUUUACCGAUUGACUUAAGUUAUUUUUUAAACAUGAAUUAAUUCAAUGUAAAGAUGUUGGACAACAAGAACUUUUUUAUUCAAAGUAAAAUGUCGAUGCUACAAAGGAAUAGAUCUAAUCAGAACCCCACAUUCUUCAUAUUCGGUCACAAGAGAAGGAAACUAUGAUUAGAUAAAUGGAUGGAGGAGAUGCACCUUAUCAUAAUGUCACCUAUCCCAUCCAGAUCAAACCACAUGAUUUUUUUUUUUUUUUUGUCAAGUAGCCUAGUGGCUAGAGCUCACACAAUUAAAUUGUGGAGAAGUGGAGUGUCUGGGGUUCGAACCCCAGCCCCUGCAUAUAAUAUGCAAUAUCCCUACCAACUGAGCUAAGCUCACGGGGAUAACCACAUGAUUAUUAUUAGUAAAGAAAUGAUAUUUGUAUAUAUUUUAUGACAACUUUCUCUUUCAUAUUUAUAUUAUGUUUUUAUUUAUCUCUAUUGUUUUGAUUUUCAUAUCAAUGCUUAAUUAUUCUUUGUAAAUCUAUAAUCAACCAAACAGGGUGAGGUUUAACAUGGAAAAGGGAAGUUGUUUCCCAUGAUGGGAAAGUUGAUUUUAACCGUUUGAUUAAAUAAAGAGUACACUGUUAUCAUGUUCUCACAACACUAAAUUAUUUUGACACUCUUCUCCAACAAUUCUCUCUCCUCCGUGUCUCCCUCACCAACCAGUACCACAACCAGCAACUUCACAAUGUAUUCAUCUUCCAUUUCCAGAUCUUGGUCUCUGUUUAAUUUUAACCUCUAAGUUCAAUUUGAGCCCCUCUUGAAUCAGAAUAAAUCCAUUACAAAGAAAACCUUCAAUAAACUGAGACCACUUGAUGUUGUUCGGAGAACAAACACACUACUUGGAUCUCUAUCUCAUCUUUCGUUGCUUCCUCUUCAACCUCCUCAUAUGCUUCUUCUUCUUCCACUUGGCACACAUGGUUGUUGAAAACGUAUGAGAAUUUGAUGAGAGAAAUCCAUAUUCCAUUAUUAUUUUUAUUAUUAUCAAUAAUUUGUGGGUUUUUGUUAGCAAAAUUUACAGCAACCUCUCGAAUUUGUUGUGGUAUAAGUGAAUUGUUAGAAACUGCAUUGAUAUCCAAAUUGAAAUAAAUUUUUAUUUGCAGCAACCUCUUGAAUUAGUUGCAGAUGAUAAGGUUUUUAUUUGAUCAGUGGCAACAUCAUGAUGAUCCAUGUUCAGUAUAGUAGCUACUAGCUAGUUACAUUCAUAUAAUAAUAAAUUUUUAUGUGGGUAGCUAAUUUCAAUUAAUAUUGGAGAAUUCAUUGUGUUGUGCUUGCCUAUAAAUAAACACCAAAUGAUGAUGGCUCGUGUGUGAAUAACUUGGAUUUUGAAUUUGAAUUGAAUGAAGGUCUUAGCUCUAAACGUGUUUAUCAAAGUGAGUUAAGCAACAUUAAACAACAGAAUGAAUCAAUGGGUUUUAAAAAAUUGGGUUUUGAGAUCUGGUCGCACAAUAAAAGUGAGAAAACCGGAUCUGAGACAAGUGUGCGUCUCUUUAAUCUAAUGGUUAAAAUUUUUUUUCUUAUCAUAAAAAAUAACUUCUCUUUUCCAUACUAAACCUCACCAUCAAACAGUUGUUCAAAUAAUACAUCACUUAAUAUAAUUACCACCUUUGAACAGAACAGAAUGGCAUAAUAAGUGGGUCCCCUGUCACUCCUCUCUCAUUUGUUUAUAGGUACUACUACAUAGCAUAUAAAAAAUCUGGAGAGAUACUCUGUGCUGAAAAGACAAUACACUUCCUUGGUGAAGUGUCAACGCCGUUAGAUUUUCAAAAUGUAAUAAAAGUAGUUAACUUGUCUUUGUCAAACUAGUUAACCUCAUCCCCCCACACACCUUCUCGCUCUUCACUCACUUGCCAUUGCCACUUGCAAGUUAGGAAACUGACAGCUUUAAUUUUACAUUUCUGCAUUACUUCCUCCCUUUUUAACAAAAUUUCUAAAUUAGAGUCCCACAUAGAUUAGUUGAUGAGUUAAAUGAAGUUGAAAGAGCUUGAAGAAAGUCCAAUAUUCCAUACCAAAAACUAACAUUGUUUAUAAAAAAAUCAAAUUAAAUAAUAUUCUCUCCUGUCCUUAUUAUAUAAAAAAUAAUUUAUUUUUCAAAUUCAUUGUGUAAGUAAUGUAUCUAAUCUAAAUAUACUAAUUAUUCAAUGAAUCUAAAAAAAUCAAUUGUUUCUUAUUGGAGGGAGUAAUUAAAUAAACUUUACUAAGCUUAAAACAGGAACCCAGAUAUUUUUUGUGAACAUUAUGGUUCCAGUUACGGAAUUUUCGGAAUAAUAUAUUUACUAAAGCAUUGAGUUAGCCCAGUCUCAGAUGGAUCAACAGUCAACUCUUCAAUUUGAUGUGUUAUUAUGUGGCUAACAUCUAAUCCGCACCUAUAAAAAUUCCACAGUUAUUGCCAUCAGCUGUUGCACAACAUUCAUUUGUAGCAACAGUAAUUGCCAGAAUGAUUCUUCUUUAGAUGGAUCAUAUCUACACUGUUUUACCUAAUUUUAUUUUUGAUAAACAUCCACCACAAGAUGAAUUAUGUGACUAUGAUGCAUAUGACAGUCUAUUUCACUUUAAUGACUCUUAUUCAAUACAAGUACUAUAUACUAUAAGUAAUACCGUAAUUGAUAGGAAUUAAUAAUAACCUUAAAAUUAGAAAAUGACAUAUACAUACAAUCAUUUUUUUUCUAGAAGAAUUAAUAAUAAUUAAAAGUUUUAACCAGAAUGUGUUUGAAAACCACCGUUCGGGUUUGAUUUGGAUUGGUAAAUUGAAAUCAUCUCCUCCAUUAGUAGAUGAAAUAGUAGAGAGAUCAAAAUGGGUGGGUCCAACACAAAAUGGCUGAAGAUAAAUCACUGUGGGUGGCCACCGCAUCACCUCACACAAAUGGAGACAGGAAAUAAUGUCUACAGAUAAGAUGAGAUACCGGAAGAUAAGACAACAAUAAUUUAAUACUACUAGAGACACUCAUUGAGUAAAAAGAUAACAUUGAAAUUUCCAAGACUAAGCUGGGAAUUUCUUUCAUCCCAUUCUCAAUAACAUUCAUUUCCUUCUUAAUUCUGUUUAUUACUAUUCCCAAAAUAUAAACACAUAUAAACAUAUUUUUUUUAUAUAUUAUAGUACUACCCAAGAACAUAAUUAACAUAGUAAAUAUCAUAAUAUAUUUCUAUAAACUACUCCUCUAUGGUAAUUAGAAACCCCCCCAAUAAGAUGAAAAGGGGAAAACAAAGAAAAUUGAAAACAGAACUAAAAAACUCAUGUUUCAUUGGGUAUAAAUAUAUUGCAUAAAAUUAGAGAGGGUAGGUACUAUAGUUGUUGAACAAUCACCAUCACCAUGAACAUUGUUUGUUUGAUGAAUCACAUGACAUUGCAGCUGGAAGUGUUCUCAUCACUGAAAGCAUGUGAGUAAGGAUCUGGAGGAGGAUAAGGGUAAGGAGGAUACAUGUAAUUCACCUCAGGAGGUGGCCUUGCAUACAUCAUUGGCUGCUGAAAUCUUUGAUCAUUUUCCACCAUUGCAGCACGUUGUUGGUUCAUCAUUGCAGCAGCCAUUAAUUGUUGCUGUUGUUGUUGUUGUUGCUGCUGCUGCUGAUGUUGCUGUUGUUGUUGUUGAUAAGGAUUCCCCUGCAUCAUUUCCGGGCCUGGACCACCACCACCACCACCUUGAAAGUAUCCUCCUCCGCCUGCCGGUAGACCUUGAACAGCAGGAAUGUUACCACCCAUUCGGUUCAUAGGCAUGGGACCCAUUGGCCCCAUGUUAUUUCCUCCACCACCCAUACCAGGAUGAGAUUGACCACCACCUCCACCACCCAUCAUUUUAUGAAAUCCAUUGUUCAUAGCUUGAACAUUACCACCACCACCAGCAACUGGUAUCGACAUACCCUUCUUACCCCCAUCGUUAUUUUGAUUAUUACUAUUAUUCCCUCCGUUCUUGUUUCCACCACCACCACCGUUUUUAGCUUCUGGCAUGCCACCAUUAUUUUUGUUACCUCCAACUUGAUUCUGAUUAUUCCCUCCACCACCACCUUUCUUUCCUCCAUUGCCAUUUCCACCAUUCAUGCCAUGAAUUUGAACCGGAACAGGCCCUCCACCACCAGGUUUCUGCCCGUUUCCGCCACCACCGCCGCCGUUAAAAUUGCCACCCUUCAUAGCAGUCAAAAGCUGUGGAUGAUUACCAUUCAACAUCAUGUGAGCACCAUUCCCCAUAGGCAUAGAAGGGGGUUUCAUCUUAUUAGGUGGCAACCCAACCAUUUCAUCAUCAAACUCAUCAUCAAAAUCUUCAUCAUCAUCUUCGUCGUCAUCAAAAUCAUCCAUUUCAUCAUCACUAAAAUCAUCCUCAUCUUCAGGCACAUCAAAUUUAACACCUUUAGCAUUCUGAUUCGGCGGCAUCUUCAUGCCUUUAAAUUGUGCUAGAUCUUGAAACCCUUUCAUCUGUUGAAGUUGUUGUAACUGUUGUUGAAGCUGAAGUUGCUGCUGCUGCUGAGGAUUUAGUCCUUGUAGUUGUAUUUGUUGACCACCUUUGGGCUGGUUAUUGUUUCCACUACCCUUCUGGUUUUGAUUCUGACCCUUGUUGUUGUUAUUUCCACCACCUUUGCCAUUAUCAAUUUGCAUGUUCUUUAACUGAUUAACAAGGUUGUUCUGAUUAUUAUUGUUGUUGUUGUUUGGUUUGGGAACACUCCAUAACUGAGCAUGUUUCCCAGAUUUUGCAAGCUUCUUGAUGAGAACAUUUGGGUCCACAUUCCCUGAAACUGUGACCUUCCCUUGUUCUGCAUCUAUCUCAGUUGUAAAUACUCCUGUCAUUACAAAACCCAUAUUCAACAUUUACUCUCAAAAUUAAGGCACUGUUUUGGAUAGUAAUAGUAAUAAUUGAAAGCUAUAAUUAAGGUUCUGUAAAUAAAUCACAAUAAUAUUAAGUGCAUACAAACAUACCAUCAAUUUUCUGUAAGAUUUUCUUUACUUUAUGUUUACAUCCAUCACAGUGUAUGUUCACUUUUAGAACAGAUUUCUGCAUAUAUACACAGAAAAUUAGGAUAAGUAAUAAAUAAUAUAUGAGACAAAACAAAAUUUAGAAAUGUACAAAACAUAAAAGCAAAAAAAAAAUAAAGAAAGAUGGAGAAUGUGAUGGGAGUGAGUACCUGUAUCUUCAAAAAUUCUUCUUUACUCAUGACCAAUAGGAAUAAAGUUUGUAACUUGUGAUAAAUAAAGAUCUGGGCUAUAGAGAAAAAUGGUGAUUAUAGAUCUGAGGAAACGAAAGGAAAAUGGAGUUUUUUUUCUUUCUUGUUUGGUGUAGUUUUAUUUGGUUUUAGAAUGGAAAUGAAAUGAAAAUAGAAGCAAAAUGAGAGAAAUAAAUAGUUUAGAAGAGUCUCUUUGAGAGUUAGGAAGAGAGAGAAUGGUGAGUAGUAGUAGUAGUCAUUGAGAGAGAAUGGGGUAAGUGUUCCAAGAGUUUGCUCUAUGUUUGGUGUCUUUAUUUAUUGAUGUAUUUUACUACACAAGUGAGUGACUUCACUGUGUAUACUAGUAUAAUUUUUUCAACAAUUUAACUCUAUUUUCCUUUUCUCUUUCUAUUUUUUUUUUUUUUUUUUUGUCUUAGCUUGACUUGAAGACUGUGAGGUGGAAAUGCUGAAAAAUCAUCAUAAAUCACAAUGAUGCAAGAGUGGAGGUGGAGAGAGACAGGAAGUGCUAGUAGUAAGUACAUCAUAUCUGAUGUGAGAUUUGUUUUCUUUAAAGUUCUAGUAAUUAUGAUGAUGAUCAGUGAAGUAAGAAUGAAGUAUAUGACUGAAUAAAAAGAAGAUACGACUCAAGAACACUUUUAUUUUUUCGGUUACUUUUUUUUUUGUCUUGUUUAAUCAUAAUUUUCUAAAUUAAAUUCAGUUUUAAUUUAUCACCGCUAAAGAAAUUUUAAAAAAACUUUGAAUAUGAUUAUUUUAUUUGACUCGAGGAUAAUCUGCUAACUAACACCCGAGUAACUUUAAGAUAGACACAAACUCAAAUAAAAAUUAUUUAGACAUAUAAAUAAAAUUUAUAAGAGUUCACAAAAAUAAAUUAAAAGACAAAUAAUUUAGACAUGUCAUUAAAUAUUUUUUCUCUUUUAAAUUUUAUCAUGUAUGUUUUCAAAUAAAAUUUAUCUAUAGUUGAGGCUAUGCAAGAGUUUUCUACGACACACAGAUGAUAUCACAUUUUAACACCAAAAGAGAAUGAGUAUGCAACUCCUAAGGAAGAAUAUUUUAACACCAAAAGAGAAUGAGUAUGCAACUCUUAAGGAAGAACAAUUAAAUGUAUUUUUUAUUAGGUCUUCAUAAAAGUUGCUUUUGAGUUAAUUGAUUUUGGUUAAAAAUCUGUUAAAAUAAAAUCAAUCAUCUUUAAAAUUAUUCAAAUAAAAAUGAGUUAAACAAUAAAUUUAAACAUCCUUUUCAAAAUAAGUAAAUUAAAUUUAAAUAUUAAAUUAAUUUUAGUAUUAAAAGCAUCAAUUUCUAAUUUUAAAUAAAACCAAUUUCAAAAACUAAAUUAUUUUUACUCAAGGGACUAAAUUGUAGCUUUUAACUUCUACAAUUGAUUUUAAUUUAAAAUUUAUUGUUAAAUUCAGUUUUACAAAACAUAUUCAAAAAUAAACCAUUUUACAUUCAACUCAUUUUUAUCAAAAAUCAAUUUUACAAAAUCAAUUCAUUCAAAAUUAAUUUUUGUAAAAACCCAACCAAACAUACACAUACAUAAUCACUUGUCCACUCUUGGAAUCAAUUUUAAGCCUUUUUUUUUUUUUGAAAGAAAAGAAAACUAAAAAAAAAGUGAGAUCAAGCGUGCACUAAAUUAAUAGUAGUAACAUCUAUUGAGGUUGUGGCUGACUUGUAAAUUUCUUAUUUUAGAACUGCUUUUUAGUACAUUGACAUCAGUUUUCUCUCAGAGAGUUGAAUUUACUUUACUUUUCCAUUUGUGCCUUGAGGCUUGAGCGAUGCCAGAAAAUUUAGUUGCAUCUAUCAACCCAGAAACUUUCUCAUUUUUAUGAUCCUUCUUUUCUGGCAUUUUUAUCUUCUAUUAAAUGAGGUAAACAUAAUGGUCCCCAAUUGAAUAAUUAGAUUGAAUUUUCCUUCUUCAUUUUGAAAGAAAAUAAUUUUUAUUCACAAAAAGAUAACAUAUAUUUUUUUAUAAGAAAACUGAUAUUUAUUGAUUUUACUAGCAGAUAGAUCAUUCAUUUAUUGUCGGUGCAAUCCAUUAUUAAAUUUACCUAACAAUGAGUCUUCUAUUUUUGGAAAACACCAGAAAUGCAUUACUACAAAACAUAAGAAAGAAGGGCUGCCUGGUCUUAUUCUUAUCUGAAAGACUAUCACACAUUUUUUUUCAAUUCCAGCUUGGGAGAUAAGCCAAACAUAAGUAAAUAACAUUUAAUUAUUGUGACGCACAUGGACACAAUUACGUGAGAUAUGCAUAGAAUUACUAACAUCUAUAUCUUCCAUAUUUUUAUUUCAUUAUAAAACUACUAUCUUUCUCUAACAUUUUUUUUAAAAAAAAUUAAUUAAAUUUUUAAAGUAUCAUUAUCUCUUCAGUUAAGUAAAUAUAGACUCUUCCGGGUAGUAUUGAGGAAAUGAAUCUAAUCAACAUUUGUCUUAUCGUAAAGGUGAGCAAACAUGAAUUUUUUAUCAAUGUCAACCUAUAUCCAUUUGUAAAGCGAAUUAUAAGAUUCUUACCAAGAUGAUGGUCAAUAGACAUAGACCCAAGACUUACAUUGCUCAAAUCACCUCUCAUAAAAAAACUGGUUUUGAACGAGGAGGAGUACAAGUGAGAAUAUUGUUAUGAAUUUUGCUCUUCACCCAGCGCAUUUUACUCGCGCUCUGCAACUGUUUUAAAUUUGUCCUUGCGCUAGUUAAUUCACGCAAGUGUAAAUGUAUGCGCUAGUUAACUAACACUGCGUAACUUAAAUAGCGCAAGUGAAAACACUGCGUGACUUAACUCACAUAGACAUUAGCACAUGCGUGAGAACUCACGGACAGUCUGUGCAUACAACCAGAAGAGGCAGAAACCUCUAUUUUCCCUAUUUUUUGCAAUCCUUCUUUCAUACAUUCAUUAAAGCAAACAUUUUUCAUCAUUCAUUCAAUCAAGCAUUAAGUCAUAAGUAUAUUACGAAAAAUAACAGAAUAAAACAACGGAAUAAAAUAACGAAUAAUGUCAUAAACGCUAAAAAGCGCAAGUGUUAUAGGAUUACAACCAAAUCCAACAAAAUGUGAAACAAAAAAAGCUACACAAGUCAUACUGGUCCAUCCCGUGGACUCCUACUCCUCCUCCGCAGAGCCAGCACCUGCUCCAGCAUGCUCCACUCAGACUGUAUGCCCUGCAUCAAGCGCAUAACCUCCUCUGGAUUAUGAAACAUAGCAGGAUGUCCCAUUGCAACGUCCACUCUGGCUCUGAUGUUGUUGAUGAUCUGGUAUGAGUCUGGAGGAUGUCUGGCCUACUGCUGCUCAACAAUAACCUCCUCGUAAGUAACUGCUGCGUGAGUUAACUCACGCUGCGCUACUUAAGUGGCACACAAAAUACAACGUGCGCAAGUUAAGACACGUUGCGUGACUUAACUUGCGCAUGGGUAAUUUAGACAACGCUGCAGGACGUGAGCGAAAAAUGCUGGGUGAAGAGCACCAUUCUAUUGUUAUCGCUUAGUAGAUUCUACAUAGUAUGGCUAAAAUGAAAAGCAAAAUUGUCUAUUUUGCAAUCAAAGGAGAUUCAAUUUGAAAUUCAAAUGGAUGUGAUUAGCAAGAACAAUUCCAGAUUUUUAUUUGUAUAUUGUUUUUUUAAUAUAGAUUUAUGACCUCAUCUUAUGUGUCCACAUUCUUGUUACUCCUAAUUAAUCAGUUUGUGCCCUCCAAUUCAAUUUAAUAAAAAAAACAUACAAUAAUUCUUGGAAAAUUGCUUUUAUGACUGCAAAUUCUUCCUAAUAACACAUAAAAGUUACUAAAUUACCCAGCGGCAGCUAACUAUCCCUUAUAAAAUCGCAGUAGUUAACUCCCGCUGAGGCCAACAGUAGUUAACUCACUUCGCGAUUUCCCCCCAAAAUCUGGACAUGCUACCUUCCCUAUUCACUCAUCACCUUACAUCACCUUACCUAAAAAAAUCACCCUUUUCAUAAAAAUUUCUUCAAACCAUUGUAGAUGGAUUGCAAGAAGGUUUUUACAUGCCUUGGCAUUUUUUUCCUAUUCUAAGUUUCAAUUUUGAAUCACAAAUUGUUUGUAGUUUCUUGCAUGCCUUGGCAACGAAGAAGAUGAUGAUGAUGAUAAUUCUGGUUUUCAUUUUUCUUGGUAGUUAACUGCUGAGGUUUUCUUCGGUAGUUAACUGCAGCCGGUUUUAUUUUUUCUCGGCACUUAACUACCGAGAGGUAUUUUCGUCUUUUACAUGUGUUUCUCAUCCAAACAACAUGUGUAUACAACAAUUCUCAUUUUCCAUCGGUAAAUUUCACCAGUAAAGAAUUUACUAUUAGACAGAAUCAUUAAGUCGGUAAUGAAAAUUCAAUUUUCUUUACAUGUUGGACUACCUCUCAAAUUGGAAAGUUUGUUUUUGAUUAAAGACAAAGUUUUGAAUAAGUAAAAUUAAAAACUCAACGAGGACAUGUUUAUGCACAAAAUAAAGUAUAUCGAAUUUUAAAAAAAAAAAAAAAACUCAACAAGGACAUGUUUAUGCAUAAAAUAAAGUAUCAAAAGUCUAAGAUUUAUUAAUCAAGAGUUCAAGUGGUUAACGAAAUUUCGGUUAAAGAUAAUUCGUUUUUAAUGAACCAUGCAUAAUUUAAAUCUUAAUCGAAAUAAUCAUUGAUUAGACAUGAAUAAUCUUUCAACAGAGUUUCAAACAAUCAGAGUCCAAUCAUCUGAGAUCUAGAGUUUGAUACAAAAUAAAAAUUGUAACGUUUAUUUACUCUAAAAAUCCCUUAUUUAUUUAAAUGUUUUUAUAUAAUUUCUUUACUAAAAAGUUUAUAAUGAAUUAUCAAACUUGCUAUCGAUCAUUUUUGGUUAGGCAUCUUACAAAAAAUAUUCAACAGAGUCCCUAAACUUUUAAGGGAACUUCUACGGUACACCCGUAAAUUAAGGUGUACCGGUACUCUCGCUUACAUUUUUAUAAAUUAACUAUCAUUUUUUAUGAAAGAAAUAGGUGUUUGUUGACAUAUAUAUUUUAGAAAAUAUCAUUUUAUAAUAAGAAAAAACAUCAUUUCAUUUGUUAGAAAAAUCAUAAUAAAUUUUUCUACAUUUUAUUGUAAAAAAUAAUCAAAAUUCUCUAUUAUGAAUAAUAGGAAUUCAGAAAAAUCAAAUUUUAUUGUGUUGACGUUUUUUGGUAAAUAAGAUUUAGUUAUUAUAAUUAUAGGUGAUAGAAAAUAUUUUUCUCCUAAAAAAAUAACUCAUUUAACUAUUAAUUUAAGGAUUUGGUGUACCAAUACAUUCAAAUUGUUGGAUGUACCAUAUAAUUUGCCAACUUUUAAAUCUAUGUUUAGUAUUAUGAUGAGUAUGUCAGAAUUACGACAACCCACCAUGAUUUUGCAGAAGUUACAAAAUGUAUCUUUUAAAAAAUCACGGUAAAUUGUUAUAAUACCAAACAUACACUAAAUAAAUUGUAACUGUAUCAUAUGUAUUGAAAGACCGUAGCGGAUAUCCUUAGAGACCCAUGCAUGCCACUGCACCACCAAGUUUUCUAUAAAUAUCAUGUAAGUCAUAUUAUUUUACAUAAUUUAUGGUUGAAAGUGGACGUGAGUUUGAUCCCCAUACCUUUUUUUUUAUAUUCAAUUACAUUAAUAAUAUUUUAUUCAAAAAAAUGUUCCUCUGAACUUGAACCGCCACCCCGCCAUGUUUCAAGCAAAUGAAACACUACACUACAUCCAUUGAUAAUUUUGCUAAUUUCUUCAAAUUCUUUAAUAAAUAUUUGACACCCUCAACAAAAGAACUCAAAAUUCAUCAUUGUUUAAUGACCUAAUAAAAAAUUAGUUAAAAAUUCAGUCACCAAUUAAAACCUGUUAAAAAAAUUAAGGAUUAAUACCUCUUUUCGUCCCUGUAAUAUUAACGAAGUUCGGUUUUAGUCUAUGUAAAAAAAAAGAUUUAGAUUUUGUCUCUGUAAUUUCAGAUUCUUUCAAUUUUGGUCCCUUAUUCCACCACGUCAGCAGAAUCUACAUACAUGGCACGUAAAAUGAGGGAGCAAAAGUGGAGGAAUUUGAAAUUAGAGAGACCAAAAGUGGGAGGAAUUUGAAAUUACAAGGACGUAAUUUAUGCAUAUUCUGCUAAGGUGAUGAAAGGAGGGACCAAAAGUGGAACAAUAUGAAAUUACAGGGACAAAAUCUAAAUCGUUUUUUUUAUCAGGAUUAAAACCGGAAUUCGCUAAUAUUACAGGGACGAAAAGAGGUAUUAAAAUUAAUUACAAAUUAUGGACAGGGUGAUGGAUUCAAAUUUCAAAUACAAGUUUUUCAUUGAUCAGAGAUUCAUUUGAAAAUCUCCAAGCAUUUAGACUCUCAGAAAAGCAGCUAAACCUAAAUAAAUAAUAAUACAGAGUGUCCCUUGUUGAUACAUUGUUAUCAACAAACUAAGGAAAUAUUCUGUGGUAAAAGAGUUUUGUCACGAUUUAUCACUAGAGGGGCCCUCACCCUAAUGGAAGACAGUUAUGUAGUAUGUUAUUACAGAAGAGGAAAAAAUUAAUUACAAGUUAUUUUUUUAUCCAAGAAAAAGUGAAAACAUCCUUGUAUGGAAUACCGUGUGACUGCCAGAAAUUAUGGGGGUGUUUUUUCUGUGUUUGUACCAAACUUGUGUGAAAUGAAAAUGGAUUUGAUGUAGCUUGACACAUUUUUUAUGGUUUUCAAAAGGAAAAGUAGAGACAUAGGUCAUUUUUUUCAACUUAAUAAUAAUGCUUUUGGUGAUUAAAUCAUGCAUGCCCUACUUUAACAGCAAAAUUAGGUAAAGGAAAGCAACAAAAAACUAGCUAGCAUAGCCCUCUGGAUACACUGAUGAAUCACGUUCAAGGUUUCUUGUUUUUUUCUUUGUUUUGUUUACCUUAAGAUUUAUUUUCCCAAGCAAAUUAUUGUUUCCAUUCUUUAAAGCCUAAACCGUGAUCAAGUAAGUUGUCCUUUCUAUUUUUCUUUCUCCUUUAUCUCUUUCAACAUGUCACUUUACCCGUCAAAGGCUAUUUGAACGGUGGUUACAAUUAAAGAAACCAUGCACAAAAUUAAAAAUUGUUUUCCGUCUAAACAAAGAGACUUAAAAAUUGGUUUUCCGUCUAAACAAAGAGACCUUAGGCUAAAUUUUAUUAAUUAUACUAACAACGCAUGGUGUUUUUUUUUUGGUUAUGUAGUGCCGAUUGUGCACAUUUUAAUAAUAAUUUUUUUUUGAACAAUUGAUAAUGAUUCAAUUCACAUUCCACAAUAGUACAAAUUCAAUAUUGACCUGAGAACCUCUUUGAUUAAAAUAACAUACAGUAAGUAAUUUUAUCAACGCUUUUUAGGUUCUUCUAUUUCUGCGAGUUUUCAAGACCUAACUCACAUGAUUAAUAAGUAGAAUUUGGCUGAAUUUAUCUUAAAAUGUAAAAGUUUCUGUUUUAUGGCUAAGGUAGUAUGGUGGAUCUUUUGUGGACUUUUUCGGACCUCAAAUGCCACCAAAUCCGAAUUAAAGGGAAAAAGAACAAUAAUAUUUAAUAUAUUAUACUAGUAUAUGAUUGUGACUAGCACAGCUGUGAUGUCAUAAAUUUUAUAAGAGUGAAAAAAUGAUGGGCAAAUUUUUUGUGUGAGUUUAAUAGACUACCUAUAUUUAGAAUAUGAUAUUUACAAAUUUCUGUCACUAAGGUUCUAAUGUGGAAUGACUUGGGAAGCCAUGCAAAACCCACUUCCAUAUAUGUUGAAGGCUUCACAUGAUGAACCACAUGGUGUUUGGACAUGGACAGUGAUUGAUUAUUAGAGAAUAUGAAUGAAUUUGCACAAUGAAGUAAGUGGGGUUGGGGAGGGAGUAUUUAUUGAGUCUCACCUAGAAGAGUACAAUUUCAGUUGCAGUUUGCAUCUCACACAUGCUUUCUUUUUUCUAUAUAGCUUUUGAUUUUUGUAUGGUAAGGGAAAUUAAUAAUGGAGUGUAGGUGGUGAGAAGUUUUGACCACAAGGGAAAGUUUUGAUUCUUACAGUACCGUUUAACUUUAACUUUUCGUUCUAUUUAUUUACUUAGUAGGAAUUUUCAUCUAAUCAAGAUUUUCCGCAUUCACGCAUUUGAGAUACGGUAACCGAUCGAUUAACAUUUGAUUGUUUAAAAAUAUGUAAAUUUAAUUUUUCUUUUUUAGUUUAAUAUAGGGAAAUGCUAACCAUUGUUUUUGGAGCAUUUGAUUAAAGUACUAAAAUAAGUAAGUUUGCAUCGAAAAAUGGUGUAAUCCUUUUUAUUAAAGAUUUGUAUUUUCAAGAUAAAGUUUCUAUUAAUGAAAUCCUUAACAAUUGCACUUAAGAUACUAGUUAGCAAAAUCCUUUAAAAUAAAGAGUUUAAAUUUGAACCUUCUUAUCUUUAUCAUGAUCAUAUUACUAUUGAUGUUCAGAAUAUAUGAAUGUAAAAAAUCUCUAAGAGCAAGGAAUCAAAAUUCACUUGGGAGUUGACGUGGUCAUGCAUGAUGCAUACGCACUUUAAUGACCAUCAUUAUUCCAAACAUUUAACUUCAGACAUUACAAUAGAAAGCAAGGGAGAAAAAAAAAAAAGGUAGCAUGCAAUUGAAUUUGAAGGACACAUGAAAUCUUCAAGAUGCCUCAAUUGUUUUCCUUUGUAUAUUCUGGCAUUUUGUUUUUGGUUCUUUCGUUGUAAAAGAUACUAGAAUAUUUUGGAGUCGGUGUGUUGAAAUUGUAGGAAGUUUUUAGUAUUUAACUUUGAUUGAUACGGUGGUAGUACCUUACCCUUCUUCUUGGUUUUACAACUUUUCUCUUUUGCUGGACUAAAAUAAAAGGUUUAUACUUUGUCUCAUGUGAUAUUUAAUACUAGCUUGUUCUAGGAGAGCAUGUGCUUUUACAAAGAAAAUGGUCUUCAAUUUGACAAAAAUAAUUCUUGUACAAUAAGAGUACCAUGUUAUGUACCAUAAUUCUACAUGUGAUUUUCAAGUAUAAACAAAUAAUUCUUUUAAAGAUGAAGAAUUAGCAGAAAAUUUGGACAGAAGACUAUCUAAUAUAAAUUAAUUAAUUGGAUACAUACAUGAUCUUAAUUUGUGUUCUAAACUCUAAUUUUGAUCAGAACAAAAUAAGAGGCAACUACAUUAUCAUUGCAAGUGUGAUAAUUUUCCAUAAUGUCAAUGAUGGCAGAUAUUACGCAAUGAUAAUCACGAUGACAUUUUUUUUUUAACAAAAUAAGAGACAACUACCAACAAUAGAUCGGUUCAAACGGUAAGGGGUUUAAACUUCUUAAGCACGUGGUUAGGUUCAAUUUCUAAUUCAUACAUACGAAAAAAAAUAAAAUUUGAAGAAGAGAACAUAUAACGUGUCCCAUAUGUUCUCAACAAAAUUAACCAUUAUUAAACUACAGUGAAAACUUUGUAAAAAUACCACGUUAAAAAAAAAAAAACUACUAAGAUUUAAGCUUGGGUUUCAUGUUAUCUUCACCCCAUAAUUAACCUUGAGUGGUUUGCCAUUGAUUACUAUAAGAGACAGACUUGUAGUGCCAUAUAAAUCACCUUUACUAUGGUGAUUUGAUGAAGUAAAUUGCAAGAAAGGCCGUUUACCAAGCAAUAAUGAGAACUUCUGCCAUUAAUUAAAAUAUAAUAGCCACAGCCGUAAAUACACGACAAUGUUUGUCGUGUAAUUUGCACGAACAUGUUUGUAACUAUCAUUUGCUAUCUUUUUUUAAUUUGGAUUCAAUAUAAAAUGAUAAAUUUUGCUUGUGCUGUAUAUUUUCUAUGAGAAAUCAUAAAAACAUCUUAUUUGGUGGUCUAAACACGCGUCUUACCUCACCAUUGCUUUGGUAACAUUGUUUUUUAAUUCAUAAUAUUGGAAGUGGGUUAUGUAUAUCAGUUAUUGCUUAACAUUGUUUUUUAAUAUACUACUAUAUACAAAAGCAUCAAUAACCAAAAAGAAAUCCAUUUAUAAAGUGAAUUAAGUGUUGUUCAACAUGUUGUGUGGCUUUCGUGUGUUGAUUUUGUCGUGCUGUAUAGCAGCGCUUUUAAAUAUAAUAGCCACAACCAUAAAUUUUCUUCCAAUGCCCAAAUAUUCGUUUGUUAUCAUUUUCUAAAUUGAGUGUCACAUGGGUAGGAUUUGUGAAAACCAAGGAUUUUUUUAGGACAAUUGCUUAGGUGAGUGUCACAUGUCAUAUACAAUACAACGAUGGUUGAAAAUCGUUCAAAACUUCGACAAUAAAUAAUGUCAUCGCUUUAAGUAGAAGUUCAUGCUCAUAUGUUACAAGUUAUAGCUUAGAGAGUAACUUUAUUGGUGUUGAUUCAAUUAAAAAAAGAGAGAAAAUAAAUACAAAUUGAGUUUUGAAACACUAAUAUUCGUUUUUUUUUGUCUUUUCUCCGGAAGUGUCAUUGAUGGGUUGUCAUUCUAGUUGUAAAGAAGAGUAAUACCAUGAAUUUUUACUUUGAGGGGAGCGCAACGAUCAUUAUUAGAAUUUCGAACGAUUUUCAAAUAUUGAAACAUUGUAAAUUAUAUAAGAUGCUUCCCCCCAACUUGAAGCCGCAUUUUUUGAUUUAGAAAAUCCUUCUCAACUUAUUAAAGCCAUGCCUCCUCGCGUCCUUGUUUGCUGCUUUUUUAGUAGGACUCCGGAGUUUACAAGUCGCACACUACACAUCAACUACUUGCGUUUAUACCCCUCGUUAACAGUUGAACAAAUGAAUUAUUGGUACAAUUUUUCUCCCUGCAAAAGUAUUCAAUUACCACUUCUCGCUUGCCUAUUUAGCAAUCAGUGUAAAGUUAUGAAAAAUAAGCAGUUGUUUUAUGCUAAUUAGAAACAAAACUAUGCAAUUCAGACUUCCAAAUAUUUCAGCAAUUGAAUACUCAGAGAUACAAGUUAAGCUUGUUCGUUCAUUCAUGUUUUAAUAAUCCAUGAGGAAUAAAUUAUUGCUACACCUCAGCAGUUGCAAACUGAAUUGAUGAAAGCCUAUACAGAAAAUCCAAUUUUGAAGUAAAGUGCAGAUAAAAAAGACUUAUCAGUAUCACCUAUGAUUUACUUCUACAUUGGUUCAAAAGUUAAUGUCUUAAAACAUCUUCAAGCUUCGAAGAUUCUGAUUUUGUACCAACAUAAACUGUAUUAGGUAACCAUCUUUCUUUUUAUUAGUGAAAAGAAGAUAAAGAACAUCCAACACCUAAAAUCUUUACUUUUUUCUUUAUAUCAUUUCACACUCAUUGAUAAACCAAUGCUUUCAUCAAAGUCAUUUAACAUGACAUUGACAAGUUUUAAAAUUUGAACUACUAAAAAUGUGAAAAGCAUAAAGGAAGGAGCAAGAAUGUUGAACACCAUAGCUUUAUAUAUAUAUAUGAUUAAAUUUUGAUUAAAGCUAUGAUAAUUUUCAAACACAAAUCUUUAGAGGAACCUUCACCCUCAAGAUACACUACAGAGAGGUUUUCUAGUGGCCAAACCAGAUCUACAAUGCAAUUGAUCCUCUCUUAAACACGACUCACAGACAAAAACACAACAAAAUAUUCACCUGUACAAUAUAGAUGAGCAGGAGUAACAUUCAACAGGAAAACCACAUAGAAUCUAAUUUUAU
rnacentral:lncRNA from 1 species